UACGUAGGGUGCGAGCGUUGUCCGGAAUUAUUGGGCGUAAAGAGCUCGUAGGCGGUUUGUCGCGUCUGCUGUGAAAACCCGAGGCUCAACCUCGGGCCUGCAGUGGGUACGGGCAGACUAGAGUGCGGUAGGGGAGAUUGGAAUUCCUGGUGUAGCGGUGAAAUGCGCAGAUAUCAGGAGGAACACCGGUGGCGAAGGCGGGUCUCUGGGCCGAUACUGACGCUGAGGAGCGAAAGCGUGGGGAGCAAACAGG
rnacentral:rRNA from 1 species